GUCUGUUUUAGAUGUUAUUCGCAACCCGAGAAAUAACAACACUAUAUUUUUCCUUAAAUUGAAUUUGUAGUCGGCCAGGACUUUCAACCAGGCUUCACUUUCAAUGCUGUAACCCCUGGUUAAAGAUAGAUUCGUCUGUAAAAUCUGGGUCAUUGCGUCAAAUUGCUUUGCCGUUGUGAUUUUAACUCUAAAUAUGUGAAAUUUUAUCCUAUUUACAUAUAUAAAAAUAAAUAUUUGUAUGUA